CACCUGAUGACACCAUCCUCCUCAAACUGUGGGCCAUCACGCUUCCUCUGAUUUUGAGAACUGUUCCCCACCUCCUUUCCCUGGCUGACCUCCAUCUUUCUGGAAGGCUUCAUUUUGCUCUUGUCCGGAGAGAUGUUCACACUGACUACACCACAGAGUUCUGUGGGUUUAUGGCCCAGCCGUUGGCUGGAGGAUGGAAGAUGCACUUCUGAAUCCCUCUUUUGGCUCGUGCAGGCUUGAUCUGGGUCUGCCAUCUUCUGCAAGAGGCUAUGCUGCCCCUUCACCCAUCCCAGUGACAUUGUGGAGAGCAGAUGAUCUUCACCUGCUUCUCCUUUGUGAAUUACAACAUGUGCCAACUCCCUGAUGGUGUGCAUGGAGCACCAAGCAGUUGUUUUCGCUUACUCUUCCACAGCUGAUGCAGAGCACUUGCUGUGAUGAAAUGGGACAUCUCCCUAUAGACCAGAGAACCUUGCCUGCCACACAGAAAUUGUUAUGACAGUUACAUUCCUAGGAAAGGCUCGUUCUGUCGUAUCACCUUCUACAGCCAGAAUAAAUUAUUUUAUCAACCAGCCAA